rnacentral:piRNA from 1 species
UCUCAGUGGACACACUGACCUUUGACUUGC